rnacentral:rRNA from 1 species
GCGCUGCAUUAGCUAGUUGGUAAGGUAACGGCUUACCAAGGCAACGAUGCAUAGCCGACCUGAGAGGGUGAUCGGCCACACUGGAACUGAGACACGGUCCAGACUCCUACGGGAGGCAGCAGUAGGGAAUCUUCCGCAAUGGGCGAAAGCCUGACGGAGCAACGCCGCGUGAGUGAUGAAGGUCUUCGGAUCGUAAAACUCUGUUAUUAGGGAAGAACAUAUGUGUAAGUAACUGUGCACAUCUUGACGGUACCUAAUCAGAAAGCCACGGCUAACUACGUGCCAGCAGCCGC